rnacentral:sRNA from 1 species
CAAAGGCUCCAGUGAGCCCCGGAGCCUCAUUCAUCACUGCUGGAGGGAAUGAGUCAGCUCCAAUUCUGAGCGUUGGCUGCAGAUGGUCAGGAUUCUGUGCAUUGGUGACUUCACUGUAGCCCCGGGCAGGUUCUCCAGAAGAUUCCUGGCAAACCGGCAUCAGCUAAGGUUCUGAGACCUCUUCCUUGAAGUAAACAUCAUGAAACUUGUCUUGUAGUUGAGGAAACCAGAACAGAGAAAAGUGACUUCCCGAGUUAGCAAAACACUGCAGUAACUCCCAGAGCUCAACUUUAUGCUAAGGAUCUCCAUACCCCAUCUCGACUUUGGGAUGUCCCCGACUCAGAAUGCCUAGGCACAUCAAAUGUCAGCGUCCUGGGAGCACGUCAAGAAUGGUAGAUAAAUAGAAUGUUAAGGCACUAAAUUUGUUGGAGUUGUUUUACUUGAGGAAAAAUAAAAACUCAUUUUUUUCGUCUUUGGGAAGUGCUGUAUGUCUCAUCUUAUGAGCCUUGGCAUCUUUUGGAGUUUUAUUGCAACCCCAUAAGAACAGCAAUACCAACCAACUGGAGCUCUCAGGGACUACACCACCCUUCAAAGAGUACACUCGGCACAGAUCCCUGACUCCAGCUGCCUAUGUAGCAGAGGAUGGCCU